AUGCAUUGGAAGAGGUCUCAGAAGUGGCGCCCUCCUCCGGAUGCAUGCGCUAAAAUAAAUGUUGAUGCUGCAAUUUCACAAAACGCAAAUAGAGGAGCAAUGGCAGUGGUAUGUCGAGACUCCACUGGCCGAUAUCUGGGUGCAUCAGCGAUGGUGAUAGAUAAGAUUACUGAACCGGAGACGCUCGAGGCUAUGGCCUGCAGCGAGGGGCUAUCUUUGGCCCUGGAUCUCAACAUGCAGGACGUCCAAAUCAACACCGACUUUGUGGCCACGGUAAAACAUGUGAACGAGCCGUACAUGGGGCCAACUGGCCAAGCAAGGUAA
rnacentral:rRNA from 1 species